AUUGUGGGUAUUUUUUGUUGCUGCUCUUUAUAGUAUUCUGCCGCUGUUGGUAUUGGCGUCGAAGCUGUACAGAUAUUGUAGUAAGUAACAAUUUGUUAAGACUAGUUCUUUCUUGUUUUGGUUGUAUUUUACAUGUUUCAAAAUACUACAAAAAGAAUCAUCUGUCAGGUGCACAUAUUUAUCAUAAUCAGGUUUAUUCAUACAUUUUGGUUUGUCUUUGCGUGAGUUUUAGCUGCAUAUGAUCGAAAUCGUUAUAUGUAUAUUAUUUUUUUUUUAGUCUUUCAACAAUUGAUCUGUAUUAUGUAUUUUUGAAUUCUUACUGGCUUAUGUUUAGAUAGCUAAAAAAUGGAUAUAUAACAUCCCUAUCUACAUUUUUUUGAGAGUCUGUGUCUAUCUUACAAAGCAAUGCAAUUUUGAUAAAGAUAUUUGUGGAAUGGUGUUUGUUUAUCAAUAUACAUGAACAUGCGCAGUGUUCGUUUGAGAUCGAUCGAAUUUCUAACUGUCUUUGUCCUAGAAAUAAAAAUAGGAAAAAACAUAGAAUGCAUUCAUUCAAGAAUAACAAGUUUAUGAUAAUCAUCUGAAUAUAAUAUGAUCACAGCUGAACAAUAUAGACCAUUAUAUCAAUUGGUCACGAUUUCUGAUAAUUUGUAUUGAAGUGUUAAAGAAACAAAUGUUACCUCUUAUAAUUUACGAAUAUUGCGUUUCAUCUAAUUUUCAUUGAUAGUCAUAGUUUUAAUCCACUCAGACAACAAAUCGUUUUGUAUACAUUUAACAUAUUUAUAUAGAUAUCAUAAACGCAAAAGAAGUAGAGUGUUCUUUAACGACAUCCAAGGAGUUAUAUCAAUCGCAAUUUAUUUUCCGAUGUCAUCACUACUUACUCUGUGUCACACAUGAGAGCGCUUAUGAUGCAAUUUUCCUUUUAAUGAAUAUUUUCAAAAGGCAUAACCUGUUCUAAAUAAUCGAUCGGUAUAGAUGUUCAAACUCAUCCUAGACGUUAAAAUGUAAACCUAUCAAAAUGUUUCAGAAAAAUCUGAAAACAAUGUACAUAUGAGCUAGAGCAGUCACUAGGCAAUUUUGUAUAUGCUAAAUGUUUCUGUGGGGCACAUACUCUUUUAAGAAAUAAUUGAUUGGCCCUGAUCCUUGAACUCGUCUGAGACAUUACUGAUAUAAACCUAUGAACUUUUUUUUCUAAAUCUGGCGUGAUUUGUUCACAUUAGAGUACUGACGAUGCAAGUUUGCACAUAAUUUUUCUAAGGGUCAUAACCCUUUUAAGAAUAAUUGAUUGGUCCUGAUUUUUGAACUCAAUUGAGACAUAACUAAUAUCAAUAUACGCUAGACAGGACGGACGAACGGAUCGGCGGAUGGACAAACGGUAUUUCUUUGUCCUACUGCAACACGUUAAAAAUACAAGAAAUGAUAUAUUUUUAACAAAUCAAAGACGCUUCAUUUAACUGAAAUUCCUAAGCCUUAUGGACAGGAUACUAAAUAAUCGCUAUUAAUCACAGUAUAAAUUAUCAAUUGGUAUGUGCCAGAGUCGAGAUCUAGUGGUAUCAUACGCUGUGAUAUUAUUGAAAAAAAAUACACAAAUUCGAACACUGUUCAAUGCGGGUUUGAGGUAUCCAAAAUCGGUAAAUUUAAAAUUAAAAGUUUAUAUAAUAAAAACCACUGACUGCUGUUAUUUUCAUUUCAUGUUUAAAUCAUGUUUCGUUAAGCCUAUAACAUGUAUAAGCACUUAUCUUGUUAUACUUCUCUUUCGAAUACAUGAUACGACACAAAAUAUGGACUAUGCUGUUCGUUGCAACUUUUCAAAAAUAUCGGUUUAUCUGUCUUGGUAAUUCAGCUACUACAUGUUUUUAUUACUAACUAAUUUAUUGAUUUAGUUGAUUUCACGACAUUAUGGAUAGCUUAUCAGUCUUAUUGUUUUGUUUUUACUUGUAGAACAAGUACACAGUAUACUCAAGCUUAAACGAAUAGUGUCGUCCCAUAAAAAAGCUUCAUCGUAUGAAAUUAAUACAGAAUAUAUACAAUAUGUGAGCUGCUUCGAACAGAAAUCGACCUGAUGCAAAUGAAAAUCAAUACAUAAGUUACCUAUUUUUGGUUGAAAAAAUCUUUAUGUAAAGUUCAUGACGUCUGUAACAGUUUUUUUAUAAUUCAGCUGAUAUAAGAAACCCUACAAAACAGAUCAGAAUUCUUCAUUUAUUUCGUAUUUGAAUGUUCCAAAAUCAGUCAGAGUCUAAUACAUGUCUAUGUAUAAUGGUAUUAGCAUAAGGGCGAUUUAUGUCUGACUCAUCUCACAUGUAUUCAGGAUGGGGGAAAUGUAAUAGAUACAAGAGUUGGACUAAUAAACUGAAAGAUAACAUUCAUCAUCGAAGAGGGAUACACAAUGCUUAAAUUAAUACAAAAUGAAGAGUUGAAAUUUUAAAUGUCGAUAUUUGAAAUUAAUUUUAACGUUUUGCUCGUACCUGUUAUGAGAGGUUUAAUGUUAACCAAGAAACUAUUCAAUCAAAAUUGAUGUCUAAACGUUUGUAUUGUCAUGCAAUAUUAAACGCACGCAAGUUGUACCUAAGACAUAUAUUUGACCGUUUUAAUGUUACUGGCUAUAGAAUGACAUUUGCUAUUUUGGGUCAACAUGCCACUGCACUUAUAAUGAAAUAAAGCACGAAAGUGUAGAUACUAAAUUCUGAAGCAGUUUAUAUCCCUUUUUUAGAUAAGUUAUCCACCCAUUGUCUUUCCUUGAACCACACAAAUAACUUUAAACGAAAGCAACUGUUUAAAUCGAACUCUUGGGAGUACACAGCAUUUUUGAUGAAACCGAAUAAAAAAAAGGUGCACAUGUAUUGUUUUUUGUAUAGAAAACUGAGUACUAAACAAGCUUUAAAUCUAAGAAACAUUGUAGGCUGUGAAACUACAUUGACAUAAUUAUGCUUGUAAUGAAAAGAGGUAAGGUCAACUCCUACUGUAUAAGUUUAGACACAAGGUCACUUAUGAUUGGAAAAUUGUUGAAUCAAACCGAAUGUAAUUUGAAUAUUAUAGAUAUAUUAAAAGUUAUUGUACUAU
rnacentral:lncRNA from 1 species